rnacentral:rRNA from 1 species
UACGAAGGGGGCUAGCGUUGUUCGGAAUCACUGGGCGUAAAGCGCACGUAGGCGGAUCUUUAAGUCAGGGGUGAAAUCCCGAGGCUCAACCUCGGAACUGCCUUUGAUACUGGGGAUCUCGAGUCCGGGAGAGGUGAGUGGAACUGCGAGUGUAGAGGUGAAAUUCGUAGAUAUUCGCAAGAACACCAGUGGCGAAGGCGGCUCACUGGCCCGGUACUGACGCUGAGAUGCGAAAGCGUGGGGAGCAAACAGG